GAAAUGCGAUACGCAAUGCGAAUAGCAGAUCCGCGAGACAUUAGAUUUUCGAACGCACUUGGCGCUAGUUUACUAGCAUGUUUGUUUCAGUGUGUUUGGAGAGUUCUUAAUCACCAAAAAGAAUGUGAUUGAGGCUUAGGCUUCUCUCAUUAAAUAAGAGAGUGUAUGAGUUUCAUACACAAAAAUGAAGUAGUCACAUUUAUGUGAUCUCAUUUUUGCUGAUUCUCAAAUACAAACACUCCAAUCAUUCUCCUUUUUUGACACCUGAAAUCAAGCAAGAUCACCCGCUGAACUUAA
rnacentral:misc_RNA from 1 species